rnacentral:rRNA from 1 species
AAAUUUUAUUUAAUGAAUUCGGCAAAUUUUAUCUAUGACUGUUUAACAAAAACAUUUCCUUUUGUAUUGAUAAGAGGUAUGCCCUGCCCGGUGUUGUGUAAUAAACGGCGGCCUUAGCGUGAGGGUCCAAAGGUAGCGUAAUAAUUUGGCCUUUAAUUGGGGUCUGGAAUGAAUGGGUUAACAUGGAUAAACUGUGUCAAAUAAGGUUAGUUGAAAUUAAUUUUGAGGUGAAGAAGCCUUAAUUUCUAAGAAAGACGACAAGACCCUACGAAGCUUUAUUUUAAGAAUAUAUUAAAUUGUAUAUUCUAAAAUUUUGUUGGGGCAACAAAAUGAAAAUGUAUCAUUUUAUUUUUGUUUUACUUAUUAGUUAAAUCUUAUUUUGUAUUAAUAGUAAGUUACUCUAGGGAUAACAGCGCAAUCUUUUAGGAUAGUUGAAAUUGGUUAAAUGGUUUGCGACCUCGAUGUUGGCUUUGGGUAACUUAGAAGUGUAGAGGCUUUAAUAGUGGAUCUGUUCGAUCUUUAAUUCCCGACAUGAGCUGAGUUCAGACCGGCGUGAGCUAGGUCAGUUUCUAUCUUCU